CUGUCCAUAAAGAUAAUCGCCCCGACGUAAAAGUCGGGGAGGAAAGUCCGAACAUCCUGAACCGCAAGGUUCAGUAAUGGCAGUGGGUAACGCCCACCCCCUGUACCGCAAGGUAUUAGGGCGGGAAAGUUGCACAGAGACAAUACUAUCCCGACUUUACGUCGGGAGAAAGGUGAAAAGAGUAUGGAUGUUUUGGAGCUUAAGACCAAAGCUACCAUACUAUCCGGCCCGUGAGGCGUCGGAGUGUAAAACCCUGCCUGAUGCAAGAGCAAUGUUCCCCGACGCAAUGUCGGGGUCCAGAAAGUUCGCUCGCUUCGUCCGCCGAAGCUUUAACGAAGGCGGGCUGCGCCUGCCCUUAGUAGAGCUUUAUCAGCGAGAUUCGGCUAGUAAUAGCCGGACAAGAUAAAUGAUUAUCACUCCGACUUAACCGUCGGGGGACAAAAUUCGGCUUAUAUUAUGGACAAUUAA
rnacentral:RNase_P_RNA from 2 species